UCAGAUCGGAGAAGAACAUUAUUUUUAUUGAAUCAACAGGUUUUGAAUCUAGGUAUGUUUAGAAUCUGGAGGAGUAUGAGGAGGAUGUGGUGGUAGAGGUGGUGGUAUUGGAGCAGGUUUGAAGGAGGAUUUUGAAGUCAGUGGUGGUGUUUUUCAGAAUUGAUGAAUUGAAGGAGAUGAUGAGAAGAUAAAGGAUGAACUAUUUUAAGUUUCUACUACUGGUGCUAGUGGUGACAGUUACUAAGAAGGCUGACCCCAAGGUGCUGGCUAACAAAGCUUCCAAGGCUGUCAAAGCUGGAGCAUCAACCAUUAAGAAGAAGGCUAAGAAUAUCUGCACAUCAGUCAUAUUUCACAGGCCAAAGACAUUGCAGAAGGCAAGG